rnacentral:tRNA from 1 species
GGGUAUAGCUCAGUGGUAGAGUGUGUGCUUAGCAUGCAUGAGGUCCUGGGUUCAAACCCCUGUACCUCCA